GGGCAAUUCUCAGGAAAAAUCAGAUAUUGAUUAUUGAUGAAGCGACGGCAAAUGUGGAUCCAAGAACUGAUGAGUUAAUACAAAAAAAAAUCCGGGAGAAAUUUGCCCACUGCACCGUGCUAACCAUUGCACACAGAUUGAACACCAUUAUUGACAGCGACAAGAUAAUGGUGAGUCCUUCACCUGCGGAAUUCCUGUUGCUCCCAAUUAUGUUCACUUUUUCAGUUUAUUCCUUCCUUGUAAAACUUGAUAGAAACCCCUAGUAAGUUAACUUUCUGUUAAUUUUGGCUCUCUUCCCAGCAGUAAUUCAUAUGCUUAACUACACCCUCAGUGCUACUAACAAUAUAUCCAAUGUAUCUCUUUGCAUAUAAUCAUAUGCAAAAAUCAUAUGUUAAAAGUUUACCAUGAAAAUAUUCCAAAUCUAAGAUUCAGCUUGUGAUGCUGUCGUACUACAGAGUAGUAUCCAAUAGAAGAUCACAGUCAUUGUCACUGUCACAGUUGUUUCAGCAUGCUUGAUCCCCUUAAUGA
rnacentral:sRNA from 1 species